rnacentral:rRNA from 1 species
AUUGAACGCUGGCGGCAGGCCUAACACAUGCAAGUCGAGCGGAUGAAGGGAGCUUGCUCCUGGAUUCAGCGGCGGACGGGUGAGUAGUGCCUAGGAAUCUGCCUGGUAGUGGGGGAUAACGUCCGGAAACGGGCGCUAAUACCGUAUACGUCCUGAGGGAGAAAGUGGGGGAUCUUCGGACCUCACGCUAUCAGAUGAGCCUAGGUCGGAUUAGCUAGUUGGUGGGGUAAAGGCCUACCAAGGCGACGAUCCGUAACUGGUCUGAGAGGAUGAUCAGUCACACUGGAACUGAGACACGGUCCAGACUCCUACGGGAGGCAGCAGUGGGGAAUAUUGGACAAUGGGCGAAAGCCUGAUCCAGCCAUGCCGCGUGUGUGAAGAAGGUCUUCGGAUUGUAAAGCACUUUAAGUUGGGAGGAAGGGCAGUAAGUUAAUACCUUGCUGUUUUGACGUUACCAACAGAAUAAGCACCGGCUAACUUCGUG